GACGCCUGCUCAAUAAAAUAUAAGCAUGUAAAAGAAGUGAUCAAGUAUGAGGUAAUAAGCAUAUUUUAUUUGUUUGAGAAACAAACACUAUUUCUUUAUAUAAGAAAAUUUUGAAAUGCAGCAAAUAUAGGUAUACAGCCAACUUGAUCAGAAUUAAGUAACUCUUAACCCUCCCUUCGCUUAUCUUCUUAGAACCACUUAAGGAAUAAAAGAAGGCAGCAUAUUCACAAGAUAACCUCCUUGUCAUGAUGGUAUAUAUUA